GAGACUUUUACUUCUCCCUUUGAGACAGACAUGCGCAAACUCAGGCCUGUUGCACAGAAAGUCAAUAUCCAAGAGACCAGUGUUGAGGAAGAGACAGCAGAGCUCCCUGGGGUUGCUGCAUCCCUGGACUGACAUCUCCAGACUGCCUUUCAGCCUUUGUAAAGGAAGAGAUGUUUACAAUGAGAACCGAGAACCGGGUUAGGAACUGCCUGCAGAAGCAACCUCCCUAAGAACUCAGUGCUGCUUAUGUGUGCGCGGGUGUGAGGUCAUGCUCUGGAGCAUGGGAAACCUGCCAGUGGCCUCAUCCUAAGAAGUGGAUGAGUCUUCCUCCCCUGGCGACGACCCACAGCCAAUGGCUCCUCAGGAAAGAAGCGGAGGCUGGACACCGUCUACGAUGUCUGUGCCAGCUUGUUGGCUAGUUUGGUGCUGUGCAGGCGGGUCACCACAGAUGCUGUGAGCUGACUGGGACGUCCCUGUCACAUC
ensembl:lincRNA Gm13073 predicted gene 13073